rnacentral:rRNA from 1 species
GGAAACAGCCCAGAUCGUCGUCUAAGGUCCCCAAGCGUGUGCUAAGUGGGAAAGGAUGUGGAGUCGCAUAGACAGCCAGGAGGUUGGCUCAGAAGCAGCCACCCUUGAAAGAGUGCGUAACAGCUCACUGGUCUAGUGGUUCCGCGCCGACAAUGUAGCGGGGCUCAAGCACACCACCGAAGACGCGGCAGUAGCUUUGCUACUGGGUAGGAGAGCGUCCCAUGCGGGGCGAAGCGGCGGCGCAAGCCCGCCGUGGACUGCAUGGGAGUGAGAAUGCAGACAUGAGUAGCGAAAGACGGGUGAAGAUCCCGUCCGCUGGACGACCAAGGGUUCCAGGGCCACGUUCAUCGUCCCUGGGUGAGUCGGGUCCUAAGGCGAGGCCGACAGGCGUAGUCGAAUGGAUGAACGGGUCGAUAUUCCCGUACCGGCAUGCAACCGACAAAACCGAAUCCGCGAGUACUAACCUCCGGGUCCGGGCUUACGUCUCCUUCGGGAGCCGGAUGCCCUGGCCUGUUGGGACCGUAACGGUAGUAGGUCAGCGCGGGAGUGACGCAGAAGGGUAGCCGGCCGCGGAGGUGGUCUUCCGUGGUCAAGCACGCAGCCCGUCCCACAGGCAAAUCCGUGGGGCGCGUGGGCGAGGUGCGAUGAUGGGCGCCGCAGGGCGCGAUAUCCGGUGAUCCCGGCUGCCGAGAAAAGCUUCGGCGUGAGGCGGCGUGCCGCCCGUACCCCAAACCGACACUGGUGGUCAGGUAGAGAAUACCAAAGCGAUCGAGCGAAUCCUGGUCAAGGAACUCGGCAAAUCACUCCCGUUCCUUCGGUUUAAGGGAGACCCCCGAUGGUGAAGCGGCUUGCCCGUGGAGCUUUUGGGGGUGGCACAGACCAGGGGGUAGCGACUGUUUACCAAAAACACAGGAGCGUGCGAAGGCGCAAGCCGCUGUAUACGCUCUGACGCCUGCCCGGUGCCGGAAGGUUAAGAGGAUCCGUCAGGCUUCGGCCGAAGCGGUGAAUUCAAGCCCCGGUAAACGGCGGUGGUAACUAUAACCAUCCUAAGGUAGCGAAAUUCCUUGUCGGGUAAGUUCCGACCUGCACGAAUGGCGUAACGACUUCCCCACUGUCUCGACCAGGAGCUCGGCGAAAUUGCAGUACGAGUAAAGAUGCUCGUUAAGCGCAGAAGGACGAAAAGACCCCGGGACCUUUACUAUACCUUGGUAUUGGCAUUCGGUGUGGAUUGUGUAGCAUAGGCGGAAGGCUUCGAAGCCACGGCGCCAGCCGCGGUGGAGCCGCAAGGUGAAAUACCGCUCUGUUCGCAUUGGAUGUCUAACCUCGACCAGUCAUCCUGGUCAGGGACAGUGCCUGGCGGGUAGUUUAACUGGGGCGGUUGCCUCCCAAAGAGUAACGGAGGCGCUCAAAGGUUCCCUCAGCCCGGUUGGCAAUCGGGUGGCGAGUGUAAGUGCACAAGGGAGCUUGACUGCGAGACUGACGGGUCGAGCAGGGACGAAAGUCGGAACUAGUGAUCCGGUGCCGGUGUACGGACGCGGCAUCGCUCAACGGAUAAAAGGUACCCCGGGGAUAACAGGCUGAUCAUUCCCAAGAGUCCAU